CAGCUUUCUCAUCAAGCCAAUAUAUUUCUCAGUUUCCCUGUAAUCAUUCCAAGUGACCAUAUACUGGAUUUUGAAUAGAUUUCCACUUCUGUGUGGGAAAGGAAUUUCUGAAUUGGAAAUCUCACUCAUUUUUCCACCAUAAGGUGUCAAUAUCAGGUAAGCCCCCACUUCAAUUAGUGUUUGCCAUAAACCUUUCAAGCCAGCUUCUGAAAUAGGUUGAGUCACAUAGUCUGAUUUCGCUUUGAAGAAGCUCUUAGAUUUUAUAGUCCUACUUAGCAAAGCUUCUGAUUCGUUUCUUGGGAUGUAAUCAAAGUAAAGAACAGACUCAAUCCAACUCAUUUCAGUGCAAUCGCUGCGGUCAACACUUAACUCUGGAAAAUUGUCCUGCAUCAAAAGGAGAAGUUUCUCCACCGGCCCAAGAAACAAUGAACCGAAUUCAAUUACAAUAGUUUUGCCACCAUUUGUGCCAGCUUUAUUUCCAACACCUAUGACUGUAUGUAGGAAAAGGUCUUCAUGAAGCUUAUCCGCAAUGUUUUGCCAUUUAGAAAAAAGUUUGGUUGCCCCUUGUUCUGCGGUCUUUGAAAAUCUGAAAACUGUAACAGAUGGAGGAACAGGAACCAGUCUAAGUUUCCAUGCCAGAAUGACUCCAAAGCUUGAGCCUCCCCCUCCUCUAAUAGCCCAAAAGAGUUCUUCUCCCAUGGAUUUUCUGUCAAGAAUUCUGCCAUUAACGUCGACAAUUUUAGCAUCAAGGACAUUGUCAGCUGCCAGACCAUACUUCCUAAACAAGGUACCGAAUCCACCUCCACUAAUAUGUCCCCCCACACCUAUGGUAGGACAUGACCCUGCUGGAAAUCCAUAAGCCUUACUUUUUUCUGCGGUUCUGUAAUACAACUCUCCAAGAGUAGCACCGGAUUCAACCCAAGCACUCUCAUUUUCUAUAUCAACAUCGAUAGAUCGAAGAUUGAAAAGAUCAAUGAUGACAAAAGGAGCUCUGGAUACAUAAGAUUGGCCCUCGUAGUCAUGGCCCCCGCUUCGGAUUCUGAUUAGUAGGCCCUUUUUCUUGGAGCAAAUUACAGCCGCUUGAACAUGAGAGUCAUGAAAGGGAGUAAUGAUAGCUUCUGGUUUUGAUGUUGAACUGGUCAAGAAUCUGAGGUUUUGUAUGGAAGACUGCACGACUGAGAAAUAAGCGGAACUGUGUUUGGUGAUAAUGAUUUUGCUAGAGUUAUAUUGCUGUAUGUGGGAGGCAAAACAUUGAAGAAAGCUUUCUGCAGCUGAACUUGAAGUUGUGGAACAAACUGAGUGGAAAAGGAUGAAAAGUAGAGGAAGUAGUUUCAUGUGUAAGGUCACCAUUUUGAUUUCCUCUGUACAUAUGAAAUGCAUGGGCUAUUAGCUCUCUAAUAUAUGCACUAUGACUUGGAAAAUAUGAGUUCAAAAAAAGUGACUUGGAAAAUUAGUGGAGGUGGAUUAUGUUUGUAUGUCAAUAGUGGGAGAAAAACUUAGUUGCAAUCGGAUAUCACUGUUUUGCUAUUUUUGGCCAAUUAUGUUAUGUCAUACGAAAAUAUUAUCAUGCGUGUUAUAAUGUUAUUGACCGAGAAUAACAAAACAGUGUUGUCCCAUGUUUCAUAAAAUCUUCUUCAGUGGAGGCAUAUCUCAAAAGUUAUAUAAACUUUUUCACUAUUAGGGCAUUUGCUUGAUGGACAUGGCAUUAUGUAGUCAAGAGUCAACCUUGCUUAAAAUAUCUUAGAUUAUGUGUUGUCAAGUCAUACAGCUAUAAGGUGGAAUUUAUAUAUACUUUCACGACAAAGAUAGCUAUUUUCUUUGCUCUUAAUAAUUCAUUUCCUAGCGUGCAAUGGUGAAUGGCUCAAGAUUGAACACACCAAUUCCAAUCUCUGCCACAUGAAUUGGGUUUUUUUGGUCCCACUUUCCAGGCUUCUAAUCGGUCAAUGUUUUUGUUGUAGUUACAUUUAUAUUCUUUGAAUUAUGUCCACUAGUUUGGAUCAUAUGUACUGCGGAAUAUUACUUGGCGGAUGGUUAUUGGAAGCAAAAUUCCACCAAGGACAUGUUGAGGCAGGCCGAGUUAGAAAAAAACAUAGAAUCAGGGAAUUUGGUUUGGUGCUGGCAAAUUAACUGGUCGAAUAACGCAUAUGGACAAUAGCUAGUUGCUAAAAUUUCCGUGUCUUGGUCGACUGUUGGGAGCAACCCAUUAUCAAAUUAGUUGGCUUUUUGCUGCCCAUGUGCUUCCUAUAAUAUAACUUUCUUCAAAUAAUGAGAAAAUACUAUUUGAGGCAUUUCAUCAAACACCUUGUUGGUAUUUGACCAAAAAACAAAAAAACACCUUGUUGGUAUAUGAAUGCACACGCAAUUUAAGAAAGGCAAGUGGGGCCAAAACAUCAUAAUUCACAUCAUAAUUCAAAGAAAAUCGAGGGGGGAAAAAAGGACAAGGGAAACUAUGAUAUGAACAGUAUCACAAUAACAGAAAAAUGGGUUUGAAGAUAGUUCCAAACUUUAUUCAUUGUAGGCAAUUGGGAUUGCUAAUAUUAUCAUGUAUUGAUUGUUGAAGCUCUAUUUCUUCCUAGAUGGAUACACAGGGAUGCUUUGUUCAUCCCUGAAGAAGUUACCAGGAUCAACUAAGGUCUUCACUUGAGCAAGUCUCCUGAAGUUAUUCUUGAAGUAACUGAAACCCCAAAUGCUUGCUUGUGCAUAGCUUGUAUUAGCAUCCUUGUUCCUCCCCAAGUCAAGAUCCUUGUAGUUCAAAUAGGCAGCUCUUGGGGACUUUGAAACAUAUGGUGCCAUGUAGGAAUACAGCUUUCUCAUCAUGCCAAUAUGUUUCUCAGUUUCCUUCUCAUCAUCCCAAGUGACCAUAUACUGGAUUUUGAAUAGAUUUCCACUUCUGUGUGGGAAAGGAAUUUCUGAAUUGGAAAUCUCACUCAUUUUUCCGCCAUAAGGUGUCAAUAUGAGGUAAGCCCCUACUUCAAUUAGGUUUUGCCAUAAACCUUCCAAGCCAGCUUCUGAAAUAGGUUCAUUGACAUAGUCUGAUUUUGCUUUGAAGAAGCUCUUAGAUUGUUGAGUCCUAUUGAGCAAAGCUUCUGAUUCGUUUAUUGAGAUGCUAGCAAAGUAAAGAACAGACUCGAUCCAACUCAUUUCAGUGCAAUCGCUGCGGGCUACACUUAACUCUGGAAAAUUGUCCUGCAUCAAAAG
rnacentral:lncRNA from 1 species